UGGGGAAUUUUGCGCAAUGGGGGAAACCCUAACGCAGCAACGCCGCGUGGAGGAUGAAGUCUCUUGGGACGUAAACUCCUUUCGAUCGGGAAGAUAAUGACGGUACCGAUAGAAGAAGCCCCGGCUAACUUCGUGCCAGCAGCCGCGGUAAUACGAGGGGGGCAAGCGUUGUUCGGAAUUAUUGGGCGUAAAGGGUGCGUAGGCGGUUGGGUAAGUCUUGUGUGAAAUCUUCGGGCUCAACUCGAAGUCUGCACGAGAAACUGCCUGGCUUGAGUAUGGGAGAGGUGAGUGGAAUUUCCGGUGUAGCGGUGAAAUGCGUAGAUAUCGGAAGGAACACCUGUGGCGAAAGCGGCUCACUGGACCAUAACUGACGCUGAGGCACGAAAGCUAGGGGAGCAAA
rnacentral:rRNA from 1 species